rnacentral:lncRNA from 1 species
GGAAGAAAAAUUAAAAACAGGGGGUUAAAGUACAAAUAAAGAAAGUUUGGCCACAUAGGACUGGUCGAUUAUCAGUCUCGAGGAAUCGGAGUGUGUUGCGUGGCCAGGCGCGUUGACAUCGACGUCAUGCGGGAGGUCACACUGGCGAUUCGCGUGCCUUUCAAUCGAAUGACCAAGGAUCGAUCCCGCGCCCGUGGAUGGUCUAGAUCCAUUUUCCCCUUAAGUGCGAUCGAACGAUCAAGAUCAAAUGCCAUGAACAGUUUAGAUUCGUUUCUUCUUUAGGAACGAUCGAACGGUCGAGAUCAAACAUGAUGAAUAAUGCAGAUUCGUUUCCUC